ensembl:lncRNA
CUGGAGUGAUGGAGGUAGAUAUGUAUAGGGGUAAGGUGACAGGGAUACUGGAGUGAUGGAGGUAGAUAUGUAUAGGGGUAAGGUGACAGGGAUACUGGAGUGAUGGAGGUAGAUAUGUAUAGGGGUAAGGAGACAGGGAUACUGGAGUGAUGGAGGUAGAUAUGUCUAGGGGUAAGGUGACAGGGAUACUGGAUGAUGAGGUAGAUAUGUCUAGGGGUAAGGAGACAGGGAUACUGGAUGAUGAGGUAGAUAUGUCUAGGGGUAAGGUGACAGGGAUACUGGAUGAUGAGGUAGAUAUGUAUAGGGAUAAGGAGACAGGGAUACUGGAUGAUGAGGUAGAUAUGUAUAGAGGUAAGGAGACAGGGAUACUGGAUGAUGAGGUAGAUAUGUCUAGGGGUAAGGAGACAGGGAUACUGGAUGAUGAGGUAGAUAUGUAUAGAGGUAAGGAGACAGGGAUACUGGAUGAUGAGGUAGAUAUGUCUAGGGGUAAGGUAACUAGGCAACAGGAUAUAAGACAAACAGAGUAGCAGCUUCUUGUAUGUGAGUGUGUGUGCUGUGUGUAGUCAGUAUAAAUGUAUAUAUUUUGGACACAGCUACUCAUUGCAGGGUUUUUCUUUAUUAUUUACUCUUUUCUACAUUGUAGAAUAAUAGGGAAGACAUUACAACUAUGAAAUAACACAUAUGGAGUCAUGUAGUAACCACAAACGUUGUAGUAGUUCUUCAAAGUGCAAAUACUGAAAUGAAGGUCAAUAAAGACACACGGUAAACUAGGUCUUGGUAGCUACUUAUUAAAACGUAUUGAUCAGUGGUAUUGCUUGGGGAUAGAAGCUGUUCAAGAGCCUGUUGGUGUCAGACUUGAUGCACCGAAAUCU